rnacentral:tRNA from 1 species
GCGGGCGUAGUUCAGUGGUAGAACGUCAGCUUCCCAAGCUGAUGACAUCAGUGGAAGCAAACCCCAAGACCUCA